UCAUUAGUAGGUGCUUAGUGGCUAGAGCGUCCGCCUCUGAUGCUGGAGGUCGAGGGUUCAAACCCGGACCAAGUAAU